UGUCACUGGUAAGGGCGUAUGGUGGAUGCCUUGGUAGACAGGACCGAUGAAGGACGUGACGGGCUGCGAUAUGCCUCGGGGAGCUGCCGAGUGGGCUUUGAUCCGAGGAUUUCCGAAUGGGGAGACCCGGCCACUGUUAUGGGUGGUCACCACAGUUUUUGUGGGGGGUACGCAGGGAAGUGAAACAUCUCAGUACCUGCAGGAAAGGAUACUCCGUGAGUAGUGGCGAGCGAAAGCGGAUCAGGCUAAACCGGGUGCGUGUGAUAACCGUCAGGUGUUGCGCAUUCGGGGUCGUGGGAUUGGUUGUUCAGCCUCUGACGGGGUUGAGAAGAGUGAUAAAAUGUCGUGCUAGGUGAAUGGGAUUGAAUUCCCAGCCGUAGAGGGUGAUGGCCCCGUAGCUUGUCGUGCGAUGUCUCUUUAUGCUUAUUCCCAAGUAGCGCGGGCCUCGUGGAAUCCCGCGUGAAUCUGCCCAGACCGUUGGGUAAGCCUAAGUAUUCCUGUCUGACCGAUAGUGUACUAGUACCGUGAGGGAAAGGUGAAAAGCACCCCGGGAGGGGAGUGAAAUAGUUCCUGAAACCGUGCGCUUACAAUCCGUCGGAGCCUUCUUGUGGGGUGACGGCGUGCCUAUCGAAAAAUGAGUCUGCGAGUCAGUGGUAUGUGGCGAGGCUAACCCGGGUGGGGGAGCCGUAGCGAAAGCGAGUUUUAAAAGGCGUUUUAGUCGCAUGUCCUGGACCCGAAGCGGGAUGAUCUAGCCCUGAGCAGGUUGAAGCGCGGGUAAGACCGUGUGGAGGACCGAACCCACCUAGGUUGAAAACUGGGGGGAUGACUUGGGGUUAGGGGUGAAAGGCCAAUCAAAUUCCGUGAUAGCUGGUUCUCUCCGAAAUGCAUUUAGGUGCAGCGUCGUGUUAUUGCUUACAGGGGGUAGAGCUACUGGAUGCUUGCGGGCCCAUACCGGGUACCAAUAGCAGCCAAACUCCGAAUACCUGUUAGGUUUAUCACGGCAGUGAGUCGGCGGGGGAUAAGCUCCGUCGUCAAAAGGGAAACAGCCCUGAUCGUCGUCUAAGGUCCCGAAGCGCGUGCUAAGUGGGAAAGGAUGUGGAGUCGCAUAGACAGCCAGGAGGUUGGCUCAGAAGCAGCCAUCCUUGAAAGAGUGCGUAACAGCUCACUGGUCUAGUGGUUCCGCGCCGACAAUGUAGCGGGGCUUAAGCACGCCACCGAAGACGCGGCUGCAUGAUUUAUUUCAUGCGGGGUAGGAGAGCGUCCUGUAAGGGGUGAAGCGGCAGUGUGAACUUGUCGUGGACUUUACAGGAGUGAGAAUGCAGACAUGAGUAGCGAGAGACGGGUGUGAAUCCCGUCCGCUGGAUGACUAAGGGUUCCGGGGCCACGUUCGUCGUCCCCGGGUGAGUCGAGUCCUAAGGCGAGGCCGACAGGCGUAGUCGAAUGGAUGAACGGGUUGAUAUUCCCGUACCGGUGUUACACCGUUCGAACUGAAUCUGAGAGUACUAACCUUCAUUU
rnacentral:rRNA from 2 species